GCCAUCAUAGUAUAGUGGUCAGUACGAGUCGUUGUGGAGCAAUAACACAACAAAUCCGACUAGACCCAGGUUCGAUUCCUGGUGAUGGCA
rfam:Candida tropicalis MYA-3404 genomic scaffold supercont3.3, whole genome shotgun sequence.